rnacentral:rRNA from 1 species
AUUUAGAGGAAGUAAAAGUCGUAACAAGGUUUCCGUAGGUGAACCUGCGGAAGGAUCAUUAUUGAAUGAACUUGGCUUGGUUGCUGCUGGUCUUUUCGAAGACAUGUGCACGCCAUGUCAUCUUUAUAUCUCCACCUGUGCACCUUUUGUAGACCUGGAUUCAAUUUUCCGAGGUAACUCGGUCGUGAGGAACUGCUUAACGGCUUUCCUUGUUAGUUUCCAGGCCUAUGUUUUCAUAUACACCAUACGAAUGUAACAGAAUGUCAUUAUUAGGCUUAAUUGUCUUAUAAACUAUAUACAACUUUCAGCAACGGAUCUCUUGGCUCUCGCAUCGAUGAAGAACGCAGCGAAAUGCGAUAAGUAAUGUGAAUUGCAGAAUUCAGUGAAUCAUCGAAUCUUUGAACGCACCUUGCGCUCCUUGGUAUUCCGAGGAGCAUGCCUGUUUGAGUGUCAUUAAAUUCUCAACCUUUGUUAACUUUUUGGUUAGCAAAUGGCUUGGAUGUGGGGGUAUGCAGGUUUCUCUAUUGAAAUUAGCUCCCCUGAAAUACAUUAGCUGGUUGCCUUGUGUAAACUUGUCUAUUGGUGUGAUAAUUAUCUACGCCGUGGACUAUUUGCCGUUUUUAGCACUGCUUAUAAUCGUCUGUUCAUUCGGACAAUAUAUGACAAUUGACCUCAAAUCAGG